GAAUGGGGAGAUUCAUCGUCAGCGGUACUGGUACGUGUGCGGUUCGCGAUGUCCGAGACUUCGGUCUCGCGGCACGCGUCCGCAUGUUUUUUAUUGCCUGGUAUCGUCGGCGUGCACUUCUCCCCUAGUAGGACGUCGCGACCCGUUGGGUGUCGGUCUACGGCCCGGGUGGUAGUCUGUCUCGUGUGGCGCUUUAUCGCGUCACUGCGGGGCAGACCCCCGGUUGUCUGACCGGCUGCUCGGCGGUACUCGCAAGUUAUCUGGCCGCAAAAAUUCGAACUGCGUCCGGCCCGUCGCAAGCGAGGCGAGUGUUCCCGAAUGUACGGAUCUAAUGCCGUCAUCGGGCCUAGCCAGCUGUUGGUUGACGGUGUCCUAGGACUGGCUAUAAAAAUUAUGAUAACGGUCAGCGACGCUACUGCUUUGGGUACUUUCAGGACCCGUCUUGAAACACGGACCAAGGAGUCUAACAUGUGCGCGAGUCAUUGGGAUUUUUAAGCCUAAAGGCGCAAUGAAAGUGAAGGUCGGCCUUGCGCCGACCGAGGGAGGAUGGGCCGCGUCACGAUGCGGUCCCGCACUCCCGGGGC
rnacentral:rRNA from 1 species